rnacentral:rRNA from 1 species
UGGGGAAUUUUGGACAAUGGGGGAAACCCUGAUCCAGCCAUCCCGCGUGUGCGAUGAAGGCCUUCGGGUUGUAAAGCACUUUUGGCAGGAAAGAAACGUCGCGGGUUAAUACCCCGCGAAACUGACGGUACCUGCAGAAUAAGCACCGGCUAACUACGUGCCAGCAGCCGCGGUAAUACGUAGGGUGCAAGCGUUAAUCGGAAUUACUGGGCGUAAAGCGUGCGCAGGCGGUUCGGAAAGAAAGAUGUGAAAUCCCAGAGCUUAACUUUUGGAACUGCAUUUUUAAACUACCGGGCUAGAGUGUGUCAGAGGGAGGUGGAAUUCCGCGUGUAGCAGUGAAAUGCGUAGAUAUGCGGAGGAACACCGAUGGCGAAGGCAGCCUCCUGGGAUAACACUGACGCUCAUGCACGAAAAGCGUGGGGAGCAAACAGGAUUAGAUACCCUGGUAGUCCACGCCCUAAACGAUGUCAACUAGCUGUUGGGGCCUUCGGGCCUUGGUAGCGCAGCUAACGCGUGAAGUUGACCGCCU